rnacentral:rRNA from 1 species
UACAGAGGGGGCAAGCGUUAUUCGGAAUUAUUGGGCGUAAAGGACGCGUAGACGGCUUUGCAAGUGACGGGUGAAAUCCCUCGGCUUAACCGAGGAACUGCCUGUCAGACUGUAUGGCUCGAGACCAGAAGAGGUGAGUGGAAUUCCCAGUGUAGCGGUGAAAUGCGUAGAUAUUGGGAGAAACACCAAUGGCGAAGGCGGCUCACUGGACUGGUACUGACGCUGAUGCGCGAAAGCGUGGGGAGCAAACAGG